GCGGUCCGGAGAGGGUCUGGCCCCACUGCUGGGGCAAGGGCUCUAGGCGCCCGGACCCCACGCCCGCAGCCUGCGUAGAACGUGCCGACAAGGACCUGGAGGGCCCCACUCCCCCUCCUCCCUCCCUCGGCGCAGCCCGGCCCAGGGGUCUGUCCUCCCAGGCCCGGGAAAGGAGGAAACCCACUUCCGCCGCGUCCAUGAUCUCCCGCGGCUUCUCCUGACUCUUGCGGCUGGCGCUGGCGCUGGGCAUCGGGACACGGAACUGGGCAGUGGACACCACCCUCCCUCGCAGGCUUCCAAAGUAAUUUGAAGGCCUUCCCUGACUUAAAGUGGAUGCUGCUUUGGAAAGCACUGGAAAAAUGGAUCCUGUCUUUCUUAGCCAAGGACUGGUCUCUUUUCUCCAAUGUGUCCCUAACAGAGUGGUGAGGCUGGCUCUUCCCACCAGUACAGGAAGAUCAUUCCUUAAAAGAAAUAGCCAUAUGGCUUAUAAGGGACUAUAUCUUAAGACUAUGUGUCUUCUGCAGUUCUUUGCAUAGAGUCAACGUUGAAGGACAAGCAACUUCAAAUUUCCAAGCAACAAAAUUAUGUUCGGGUGGUUUUCUGAAAGCGAGAUCUUAAGAACCACCUGUAUCAGAAUCCCAUGAAGAGCUUGUUUAGUGUGCAAAUUUACAGAUUGUCCCCCCUCAGAAAUGCUCAUUUAGGAGUUCCUGUCCUUUGCGGGGACAUGGAUGAAACUGGAAACCAUCAUUCUCAGCAAACUAACACAGG
rnacentral:antisense_RNA from 1 species